ensembl:lncRNA
CCCCCAAGGCCUAACUUGAUGUUUGCUCCCAGUUUCAUCUGAAAGAACAUUCUCCCAUUCCACAAAGCCUCUUAGAUGGUCAGUGUUAGGUUUCUCUGGGCCUGACUUGAGUGUUGACAAUCUGACAUGUUUCAAGAGGACUUUGAAACUUUGUUCACCUAAAAUAUAUAGAGGAAAUGUGUUCUGUGUCUUUCCUCCACUUCCCUUUACAUCUGUUGCUUCACUCAUUCUCUUAAUUUGAUUACAAUGCUUUUGCCCUUUUUUUCAGACUGGCAAAUGUUGAGUGACAACUACAGCCUGCUGGCCACGGUGUCCACAUUUCUCAGCCCUUAGAAUCAUCCUGUGCAAACUCAUGAUGUCUUCCCCUGGGUCCUGGGCAUAUGGGCCCUGCAUUUCAACAGCUCAUUCAAGCAGAUGGAAUUCCCAUGUUCCGUGUCAGGAAGUGCCUGUAGCCAGAGAGACACCCAUGGCGGGACAGAUACAAGCCACAGCGAUUUUUCCUCUUUGUGUCAGAGAGAAAGGACAAACUUUGGAUUCGAUAGGAAGUCCUUAAAAUGUUUGUCUUGAAAUAGGGAUGAAGAGGCAAAUGGUUCCUCUCUGCAAGCAAUCGCAGUCUUGCCUAUGGCUCACAUGGCUGUAGCAUGCCCAUUCUUGUGCAGAUAUUUCUCUAAGCACCUUUUAUGUCUCAGGCUGGUAUUCUUAUUUGGUCCCAUUCUGCAGCUCAGAAAACUGAGGCAUAAGGGGUUAAGCACUGUCAGGAAUCUGGUGCAAAAGCCCACACUUUCACAGCCUCACCAGCUGAUCAAAAACCCAGCAGGGCUAGUGUCAGACACGUAUCCACCCAUCUAGCUCCCUGCCACAAGCUGAGAAUUUGGCAGAGUCUCGUUGUAGCAUUUCGCAAACCCUCCUGAGAGACCUGUGAGUGGAAAACUCAUGGCAAACUGACUGUACACUGAGCUAUGACCUGAUUUAGAAAUACCUUAGCAAUGGUUGCAUUUUCACUUUCUAUGACUGUUUUUUAACCCAUUUAUGUGGGGGGUGUAAUUGGAGAGAAAAUUCAAUUUCUUUGGAGGUGUAAUUCAUUGACAGUUUUGAUCAAAUUUAGAAUGAAUGCUAAAUUAAGAAUAAAUUCAGAGUUGAAUACAUUAAUAUUGGGGUAAAUUAGGAAGGCUUUUAAUAGUCAAAAAUUGUAAAUAGCUUUUAUUGAAAAGUGUGCCCACAGUAACAUCUGUUAUAUUGGGGCUAACACAGUUAACCUUUCUCAUGGGUCAUUAUAAGCAACAGUCAAUAAAAAUGUACCAUGCAGAAUCCUUCAUACGGUUUUAUCCCUUUGCACAACAUCUCCACUUUUUUAAAGCUGUUAAUAAUGUUCCAAAAUAAACCUUCCAUCAGUUCAAGCUAGCACAUUUGUCUGAGGAAAAACAUAAUAAAUGCAUUGCCUACAAGCAGUUAAAAAAUCAAAACUACCACAAGCUCAGGAAGUAUCUCUAUAGGGAGCCCUGGCGCAUGGUAACGUUAAGUCCCCAUGCAAAUCCACUCCUGUAAGCUAUGGCACAGCUGCAAAAAAAAAAAAA